rnacentral:rRNA from 1 species
ACACGACUCUCCGCAAUGGAUAUCUCAGCUCUCGCAUCGAUGAAGAAUGCAACAAAAUGUGAUACGUGGUGCAAAUUGUAGAAUCCCGCAAACCAUCGAGUCUUUCAAAACAAGUUGUGCCCGAGGCCAGCUUGCUGAGGGCACGUCCUUCUAUGCGUCAAGC